UUGCUCACUUCAGCAGCACAUGUACUAAAAUUAGAACAAUACAGAGAAGAUUAGCAUGGCCCCUGCAAGCAAAGAUGAUCUGAAAAUUCAUUUAGUGUUCCAUAUUUAA
ensembl:snRNA U6 U6 spliceosomal RNA